UCCGGCUUAUCACCGGCAGUCACCUUAGAGUGCCCAACUAAAUGAUGGCAACUAAGGCCGAGGGUUGCGCUCGUUGCGGGACUUAACCCAACAUCUCACGACACGAGCUGACGACAGCCAUGCAGCACCUGUGUUCCCGUUCCCUUUCGGGCACAGCCCCCUUUCAGGGGCCUCCAGGACAUGUCAAGGGUAGGUAAGGUUUUUCGCGUUGCAUCGAAUUAAUCCACAUAAUCCACCGCUUGUGCGGGUCCCCGUCAAUUCCUUUGAGUUUUAACCUUGCGGCCGUACUCCCCAGGCGGUCGACUUCACGCGUUAGCUACGGUACUAAGGAAGUCUCCUUCCCCAACACCUAGUGAUCAUCGUUUAGGGCGUGGACUAC
rnacentral:misc_RNA from 1 species